rnacentral:rRNA from 1 species
UACGGAGGGUGCAAGCGUUAUCCGGAUUCACUGGGUUUAAAGGGUGCGUAGGCGGGCAGGUAAGUCAGUGGUGAAAUCUUCGAGCUUAACUCGGAAACUGCCGUUGAUACUAUCUGUCUUGAAUACCGUGGAGAUGAGCGGAAUAUGUCAUGUAGCGGUGAAAUGCUUAGAUAUGACAUAGAACACCAGUUGCGAAGGCAGCUCGUUGGACGAAUAUUGACGCUGAGGCUCGAAAGCGUGGGGAGCAAACAGG